GGGAAUUAUUUGUUUAGCAGAGUGUUGGCGUUCGGGAAAAAGCUGUCCUUGUGUCUAGUUGUUCUGGUGUGCAGUGCUCUAUAGCGUCAUUUUGAAGAUUAACUCCAAUAGUCCAGGAAAUUGUGCAACAUGUACAGUGAAUUACAGAAGCCUGUAAAAGAAAUCUUGGAUGGUUUGAGUCACGUCAACCCUGAGCCCACGUCAGCAUGGGAGAAGAAGGAAGCAUUUCUGCCAUUGGUCCUGUGAGAAAUGAUUAUCUGAUGGGACGUUUGGUUCCAGAGGAUGCUACAGUGACCUGAGAUUUCCUUAAAGCCUUAAAAGCAUCACAAAGAAAAGAAAAGAAAAGAAAAGAAAAGAAAAGAAAGAAAGAAAGAAAGAAAGAAAGAAAGAAAGAAAGAAAGAAAG